AGCUCUACAAUAAAAUUCAAGUCCCAAGCUAAGAACAUGCAUCCAACUUAAUGCUAAAAAUUCUGCAAUUUUCUCUUUUUCCUCAUUUCAGCUUCAAUUCUUCCUGAAAUCAUUAUACACCUUAAUAAGCUCAUAUACACAUGAAACAUGCAAUAAAACUAAAUAUAAUGGAAUCAAAAUAAAUGAAUAAUAUGCACUCAUCAAAUUCCCUCACACUUAGCCUUUUACACGUCCUCGUGUAAACCAAAAGUUUGAUUUCCAAAAAAAUUCUAUUCAACCAUAGUGUCAAAAGAUUUCAAGAUACAAAUAAUGACUAUCAACACUAAAUUUGCAGAAAUCUAAUCAACGCCUUAUCAAUUAACUCACAAUUACCAACUUUACCAUUUCACCAAUGAAUUUCAUUAAAUCAAAUUGUAGCCACAUAAGUAACUUUCCCAAAAUCAUCAUACUUACUCAACUUAGUUACCAUGGAGCAAAAACCAUGCACACUGACUCAUAACCAAGAACAAAUUUUUCUCGCUUUUUAAUUUUUUCAUAGAACCUUCUUUUUAGCACAGAUGAAUGUAUUUUCAUGCUUCUUCUUUUUUUUUUCGUAUUUCUUUUUUUUUUUUUUUUUUUUUUUUCUUGACAUGUGCAAUGUCUCCUUUUCUUAGGCUUUUCAGAGUUACCCAUUAGCGAACUUUCCACCAACGACUCCCAAACCAGAUGAUCUUAGGGCGCUAGGUGUAGAGACACCCCUACGGGCUUACUUAUUCAAGUAACAAAGGCCACAAAAGUCGACUAGUCAAGCUGCUUUUAUCCAUCGCACUUUUCAGCGUGAAUACCGAUGCUUCCCGAGGCUUAGAUACCCAGUUAUUUCGCACAAUAGACAUUGAAGCAUAUUUUUAAUUUUUUUUUUUUUUUUUUUUUCAUUCAUCAUUAUUUCACAUGGUUCUGUAACAACAUAAGCAAGUUAAACAGUUCUUAAGUCGUGAAAUCAGUGCACAUAGACAACUCCACAAAUAACUUAGCCAAAUAAACAUGCUUCUCAUAUUCAAGUACUCAUGUAUCACAAAUUCAAUUCAAAUCAAUUACUAUGGAUCAUGGCUUAGUUGUCAUCAUUCAUUAACAAAUUAAGCAUCAACAGAUUCUGAAUUUUAGCAUCAAUUUUCAAUCUUUG
rnacentral:lncRNA from 1 species